UGGGCCCGCGGCGCAUUAGCUAGUUGGUGAGGUAACGGCUCACCAAGGCGACGAUGCGUAGCCGACCUGAGAGGGUGAUCGGCCACACUGGGACUGAGACACGGCCCAGACUCCUACGGGAGGCAGCAGUAGGGAAUCUUCCGCAAUGGACGAAAGUCUGACGGAGCAACGCCGCGUGAGUGAUGAAGGCUUUCGGGUCGUAAAACUCUGUUGUUAGGGAAGAACAAGUGCUAGUUGAAUAAGCUGGCACCUUGACGGUACCUAACCAGAAAGCCACGGCUAACUACGUGCCAGCAGCCGCGGUAAUACGUAGGUGGCAAGCGUUAUCCGGAAUUAUUGGGCGUAAAGCGCGCGCAGGUGGUUUCUUAAGUCUGAUGUGAAAGCCCACGGCUCAACCGUGGAGGGUCAUUGGAAACUGGGAGACUUGAGUGCAGAAGA
rnacentral:rRNA from 1 species